rnacentral:tRNA from 1 species
GCGCCGCGCAGGAUGGCGGCUUCGAAUUCGGUGGCCUUGGCGGGGUCGAUGCGGAUGUCGGCGUGUUCAAGAAUCAUGAUGUGGCGCU